rnacentral:rRNA from 1 species
GAUCAUGGCUCAGGACGAACGCUGGCGGCGUGCUUAACACAUGCAAGUCGAACGAAGAGCGAUGGAAGCUUGCUUCUAUCAAUCUUAGUGGCGAACGGGUGAGUAACGCGUAAUCAACCUGCCCUUCAGAGGGGGACGAACAGUUGGAAACGACUGCUAAUACCGCAUACGAUCUAACCUCGGCAUCGAGGAUGGAUGAAAGGUGGCCUCUAUUUAUAAGCUAUCACUGAAGGG